UUUUUCUCUGGUUGCUUCCCUACCGUGUGAGACUGUAAAUUGUUUCUCCAAAUAGUUUUCCCAAACCACCGCCAUCAUUGAUUCAUCCAAAUCCAUGAAUUCGCAGAAUCGCGCCACAUAACCAGUCAACAACACAGAGCUCUCUUCGUCCACGACAACCCAUCGGUCCACCUCAACGCCGCGUGUGCAACAACUAGCACAAUCCCAACCAACAGCGGCACCUAAACAUUCAUCGUCGCCUGUGAAGAAUAGCAGUAGAAUCCAUUUUGCUAAAGAGGGUCAGCAAGCUGUUGUUUGGUUUUGGCCCGAGAAAGGGAAGCCACAUGAAUGCCCAGUCCAGCUUUUCAACGUAAUACAAUUGGGCAAGACGCAUAAUACACUAUGAAUCGGAAGGAGAAGAAGAAACAGUUACAGUGCGUCAAAGUUUGUUACUUUUUGGUGGCCUAAGUUGGGGCAUAAGUCUUCCAAUGCUUUGAGUGUUUGCGCUCCUUUUUCUUAAUCUUCGUAACAAUCAUUCUAAUCUCUUUUUAUCUCUGUGCAGACGUUUUCCAAAGUUGUUAGAAGUUGGGUAUCAAAAAAGUUCAUGACAGGAUGGUGGGCAUUUUUAUCUUCUGACUCCUAUUUCGUUCAAAUCAUGUUCAUAUGUAAUACUAUUUUUUGUUUGAUACUCUGUGUAAACCUUCAAUUCUAUGUUGUGGGGAGGGUCAAAUAUCUUUAAAGUUGGUGGAUUUCAGAUUAUUCUUAAGAUUUAGAGUUGAAAGAUGGAAUGCUUUAGUAGUGAUAGGAACUUAAACUUAGAUUGUUGGCAUGUAUUUAUAAUCUAUUUUUCUCUCUUUCUGAAAGUAGAAGUAUAUUACAAGUUAGCUAAGACAAAGAACUAGCCUUUUGCUAGAUGAAUUCAAGAAAUGUACAACUUAGCUUAUUACAAGUUUUAGACUGAGCCCAUUUCAUAUAAUUUUAGGCUAAUGUCAUAUAUGGGUGGAUUUUUUUUUUUUUUUUUUUUUUUUUUUGAUGCAUCCAUUAUGUAGUAGUUAAUGAGAUCAAAGCUUCGUUCUCCUUCUUUGAGGCUGCUUUUUGCUCUCAUAUAUAUAUAUAUAUAUCAUAUUACCUGCUCACUCUUUGCUCUUUUGCAGUGUGAUCGUAUUUCCAAUAGCGAUCACUUUCUAUAUCACAUGGUGUUUUAUUCACUUUGUGGAUGGUUUCUUCUCUCCGAUCUAUGCUCAACUUCGAAUAGACAUUUUUGGUAUGUAGUGUUCUGAAAUGCAUCCUUAAACCCAUUAUUUGAUUGGUACAUUCUAACUUGCAUUAGUUAUGCUCUUGCGCUUUGACGUUGCUGAGCCUGAGCUAAGUCCUUGACAGCCCACCUCGGCCCGCGAAUCGCCCAACUUGCAAGGCAGGAAGUUUACCACAUGAUCUCGACCUCCUCAUCAUCGACAGCAGCAGCGGCGACCAUCAGAGCAACUCUCUUUGCGGCGCCUUUCCUUCUUUGGCCAACCUCCCUUCAAGAAGUCUACCUCGACGCGAACAACUUCACCUCCAUUCCCGCCGGCUACUUCACAGGCCUCUCGAGCUUGCAGAUUUUGAGCAUGAGCCAGAACAUCAAUCUCGACAUUUGGGUUUUCCCCUCGGAGCUCACUGAAGCUUCCAGCUUGGUCACUUUCGCUGCAGGGUUUUGGAGAGUUUGAAUUUGGGGCAAUGGGGUUCAAGGUUUGCGGGAAUCAUUCGUGCAGAACAUCCAAUACACACGAAUGAAGGAAAGGCUGAUCUUUGCGGUUCAGCGGAUUUGCCAGUCUCUGCUGCAAGUGCAGAGACUUUGGACCCGGGUGCUUCUAGACAUCUUGAAAAAGCGCAAGGAAAAUAUUUCAAUCAAGGAUUGUCCACCCACUGUUUUUAAAAGGAAGUUUCAAACUGUUUCCGAAUGCAGGACAAGAGAAGAAUGUGAAGUAAGAAAUUAAGUCCUGAGAAGUAAAGCAUGUGAAUCAUUUUUGUUGUACAUAGGUUGUUAAUAUAAAGUUAGUAUAAUCAGGUGCAAAUUGAUGAUGGGAACAAUUUAUUUACUCUCUGAUUUGUACUUAGAAAGCUGCCAUUUUAGUUGUACGUAAUCUCUUAAUGUAAAUUCAACAGAACAUACAUGCAAAGUGAAGACUUAUUUCUACCA